rnacentral:rRNA from 1 species
UACGGAGGGUGCGAGCGUUGUCCGGAAUCAUUGGGCGUAAAGGGCGCGUAGGUGGCCCGGUCAGUUCGUGGUGAAAGCGCGGGGCUCAACCCUGCGUCGGCCAUGAAUACUGCCGCGGCUGGAGCACUGUAGAGGCAGGCGGAAUUCCGGGUGUAGCGGUGGAAUGCGUAGAGAUCCGGAAGAACACCGGUGGCGAAGGCGGCCUGCUGGGCAGUUGCUGCCACUGAGGCGCGACAGCGUGGGGAGCAAACAGG